UACGUAGGGGGCAAGCGUUGUCCGGAAUCAUUGGGCGUAAAGCGCGUGUAGGCGGCUUGGUAAGUCUGCUCUGAAAGCCCGGGGCUCAACCCCGGGAGGCGGGUGGAUACUGCUGAGCUCGAGUCCGGAAGAGGCGAGUGGAAUUCCUGGUGUAGCGGUGAAAUGCGCAGAUAUCAGGAGGAACACCGGUGGCGAAGGCGGCAUCCUGGACCGAAAUUGACGCUGAGGCGCGAAAGCCAGGGGAGCAAACGGG
rnacentral:rRNA from 1 species